GGGCCGGUAGCUCAACGGUAGAGCAGCUGACUCUUAAUCAGCUGGUUGAGAGUUCGAAUCUCUCCCGGCUCACCA
rnacentral:tRNA from 1 species